CCCCCAGGCGCCUCUUGUCCAGGCACUUUAGUGCAAACUCACUGAUGUGAGCCGAAUCCCUUGCCCGCGGCUGCCUGCGGUGCGGCUAACUCGUCAAUGCGAUAACUGUCGUCCGCCUGCAGACGGCGCGCUUCGGCUCUACCGGAACCCCGCGCGGCGCGAAGCGGAACCCCGAGGCCGCCCUGACUUAAGACGCGCAUCAACCGCCUUCCUUCUUCAUCCGAAUCCAAACCUGCCUGCGUCCGGCGCAAGCUGAGCGCCCAGGAAAUGCGCGCUGAGGGAAGAAAUGACGCCAGGGGACACUCUCCAGGACAGGCCGGAACGCGCGACACGCACCAUCCGGGGGCUCUGCACGACGGAGACCCGGACGACACCGACGAGCUGGGUCGGGCAGCAAAUCCAAGACAAGGCCAUUGAUCUGCUUGCUGAUGGUGUGGGACCCUCCAGCAGAGUUAUUGGUACCAUCUUCCUUCCCUGUGAUGAGCUGCUCAGGGUGGAGAAGUUGCCAGCGGGAACUUCCAUCAAUGACUGUGGAUUCCAGGUCUACAAACACUGCCACAAACACAUGUGCCAGCACCUGUCUCACUGCAAAAGUGUUGAAGGAGUCAUCUCCUCCCCCAGUGGUCUUGUCAGUUGGCAUCUGAUCAUUGGGCUGGAUGCCCUAUUCCAGGCAGUAGAGCUCCCCGCAGGUAGUGCCAGUCUGAACACCAGCCUGGAUGGAAAUGAACUUGUGCAUGGUUGCUGCUUUAUGGCUGCAGAGCAGAUGGCAGAGAGGAAGAGGAAGGGCUGUUGCUUCUUACAGUGCCACUCUUAGGGGAUGGACGGAAGAACUUGCCUUUCCUCGGCAUUUUAGGAAAGUGGGCAGAGCUGGGUAGAGAGGAAGCGGUGUUACCAUUGAGAAGUCCUGCUCUACACCUGUGACUGUUCUUGUGUAUGUAACCUAUUUGUCAUCUGUUGCAACUUUUAGAUUCAUCAGCUUAUUUUUGGUAUUCAAAACUUUCAUGUUGAUAUGUUUAGUUCCAGUCUUUCAAGAAAUUGCCCAUUUUGGGGCGCCCAGGUGGCUCAGUCAGUUAAGCAUCUGCCUUCGUCUCAGGUCAUGAUCUCGGGAUCCUGGGAUGGAGCCCCACAUUGGGGUCCCUGCUUCUCCCUCUCACGAUGCCCCUUUCUACCCCACACUCGUGCUCUCUCUCUCAUGCUCUCUCAAAUAAAUAAAUAAAUCUUUUUUAAAAAAACUGCCGA
rnacentral:lncRNA from 1 species